AGUGAACGCUGGCGGUAGGCCUAACACAUGCAAGUCGAACGGCAGCACAGCAGUAGCAAUACUGUGGGUGGCGAGUGGCGGACGGGUGAGGAAUACAUCGGAAUCUACCUUUUCGUGGGGGAUAACGUAGGGAAACUUACGCUAAUACCGCAUAAGACCUUCGGGUGAAGUGGGGACCUUCGGGCCUCACGCUAUCAGAG
rnacentral:rRNA from 1 species